AGUUGUAGUUCGGCUUGAGGCCCGGGCCGCAUGGGGAGUUGUUGGGCGGAACGAGCGACUCGGAGUAUGGGAUUGGGGGAGGGGGACGGAGGUGGGGGGGUUGUUUGGCGCAAAGCCUGCUGGGGCAUGGAGUCCCAGUGAGCUUUGUGCGCAUGUGCGGGGAGGUGACGGGGCUUGGGGGGCAUCGCCUGAGAGAGUGAGGACAGGCUGUGGGAGGAGCUGCAGGACUGAGGCACAGAGGCCCGGGGCCCACGGAGGGGCCCAGCCUUGACUUGGCUCCCUGGGAUCCCAGGACUGCACGCCCUUUCCGCACCACCUGAGUGAGCGCCGCCCCUCACAGAGACCUCUUUGCCCCUGGGCCAGGCGGGGCAGGCGCUGCGGUCCGGGAGGCCCCAUGGAGGU